UGGGGACUGGCCCAGCUCGCGGAGAGCUGGAGGGGGUAUUCCUGUAAGCUGUGAACUCAUCCACAGGUGGCCUGGAAAUUCUCACUCCUAAGGCACAAGGGAACCUCUCUCUUGCCCACUGGGUCCUCAGUAGCUUGAACACAGACCUGUGGCUUCUCUCCCUGUGUCCUCCUCUGCAUCCUUGACAUCACCCUUCUCUGGAGGGCCCGGACUUUCCAGAGUCUACUGGAAGCUCUCAUAUGAACUGGGGAAUCUAUCACUGGGUUCUCACAUGGAUUUGGGGUAUGUGCCAGUUCUGAUGGGGCUGUGAGUCUGAGCUGGGUCACGCUGGGAACUAGCACUUCCCACGUGCAGUGGGGUUGGUGCCGUGGCUGGGCUGUGCUGCAGCCUGCUCUGGGAAGCCAACACAGCCUCUUUCCAGAGCCUGUUUUCCAGAAGGAUCUGGCACCUGGAGGCCUGGAGAAGACUCCCAUAGGAAUGCUAGGUAGAGCAUCCUGCAAGCACUUGUGAUGGAGUGAGGUUGAUAUGGCUUGGAUGUUUUUUCCCCCCUCCAAAUCUCAUGUCAGAAUGUGAUCUCCAAUGUUGGAGGUGGGGCCUGGUGGAGGGUGUUUGGGUCAUGGGGGGUGGAUUCCUCAUGAAUGGCUUGGUGCCCACCCUGCAGUAAUGAGUUCAUGGGAGAUCUGGUUGUUAAAGAAACUGACAUCUCCUCCUUGCUGUCUUGCUCCCUCUCUCCCUACGUGACACGCCAGCUCCCCGCUUGCUUUCUGCCACUAGGAAAACUUCCUGAGGCCUCCCCAGAAGAAGCCGAGCAGACGCUGGUGCUGUGCUUGAGUAGCCUGCAGAACCAUAAGCCAAAUAAAC
rnacentral:lncRNA from 1 species